UACGUAGGGCGCAAGCGUUGUCCGGAAUUAUUGGGCGUAAAGAGCUCGUAGGCGGUUUGUCGCGUCGGCCGUGAAAACUUGGGGCUUAACUCCAAGCUUGCGGUCGAUACGGGCAGACUUGAGUUCGGCAGGGGAGACUGGAAUUCCUGGUGUAGCGGUGAAAUGCGCAGAUAUCAGGAGGAACACCGGUGGCGAAGGCGGGUCUCUGGGCCGACACUGACGCUGAGGAGCGAAAGCGUGGGGAGCAAACAGG
rnacentral:rRNA from 1 species